rnacentral:rRNA from 1 species
AUACGUAGGUGACAAGCGUUAUCCGGAUUUACUGGGCGUAAAGGGCGUGUAGGCGGUCUUGCAAGUCAGAAGUGAAAUUCCUGAGCUCAACUCGGGCGCUGCUUCUGAAACUGCAGGACUUGAGUGCUGGAGGGGAAAGCGGAAUUCCUAGUGGAGCGGUAAAAUGCGCAGAUAUUAGGAAGAACACCGGUGGCGAAGGCGGCUAUCUGGACAGUAACUGACGCUGAGGCGCGAAAGCGUGGGGAGCAAACAGGAUUAGAUACCCUGGUAGUCCACGCCUUAAACGAUGAAUACUAGGUGUAGGGGGUAUCGACUCCCUCUGUGCCGCAGUUAACACAAUAAGUAUUCCGCCUGGGGAGUACGGCCGCAAGGUUGGAACUCAAAUGAAUUGACGGGG